CAGUCACCAAAAAUGAAAAUUAAAAAUAAAAUAAAAUAAAUAGAGAGAUCCAGUAAUCAGCCAAAAUAGCUACGUCGCCAUUUUCCAGCUCCGUCAUUAUUUUCCAAUCUCCUUUGUUGUGCAAGUUUAAAUCGACGGCGAUAGAGUGUGUUAGCUAAAGAGAGUAGUAAAAAAAGAAAAGAAUCUCGUCGAUGUUCAUUUCAUUUAAAGAGAAAUAAAUUUACUACUAUUAUUGUCCAAUCGAUGUAAAGAAUGAGAGCACCGAUAAUUUAUUCGUUGCGGUAGCUGUUUCUUGGGUAGUUGAUGAUCGAUCGACAGUUUGCGUUUUGUUAAAUGGAGAUUUCUUCGAAUCGAUGAAGUAUUUCCGGUUUUGUUAUGAAUCUGAGUGUUAGAUCGGCUUCUUGAUGCAUUGAGUUUACUUUUUUUCUUUCUUUUGUUUUUGGAGUGGAAUCGAUAUAAUUUUCUUUCUUCCUUUUUUUGGGGAAAACAAUGAUCAACGGCGGUUCCGAAACAGCCGUGGCUCCGGUGGGAGGAUCGCAACCGCUUGACUGGAAGUUCUCUCAGGUGUUCGGAGAACGGACGGCCGGAGAGGAAAUUCAGGAAGUUGAUAUCAUAUCUGCAAUUGAAUUCAAUAGAAAUGGCGAUCACCUUGCUACCGGUGAUCGUGGGGGUCGGGUGGUUUUGUUUGAAAGGACUGACACUCAAGACCAUGUUGGACAUCGAAGAGAUCUAGAGAAGAUGGAUUAUCCAAUCAAUAGGCAUCCUGAGUUUCGCUAUAAAACAGAGUUUCAGAGCCACGAACCUGAGUUUGACUAUCUGAAGAGCUUGGAAAUUGAGGAGAAAAUUAACAAAAUUAGGUGGUGCCAGUCAUCUAAUGGUGCUCUUUUUCUUUUGUCGACAAAUGACAAAACAAUCAAGUUAUGGAAGGUACAAGAGAAGAAAGUCAAAAAAGUAUGUAACAUGAACGUGGACUCAACCAAAGCCAUGGGAAAUGGUCCUAUUGUUGGUUCAAGUAUCUCAACAAGCUCCAAACAACACAUUGCUAAUGGAGGAUGCACAAGCAAUGACUUCUCAUUCCCAACUGGGGGUUUCCCAUCUUUGCAUUUGCCUGUGGUAGUUGUUGUGAAUCCAGAAUGCUUAUUUGUAACCAGUCAUGAGACAAACCUUAUGGCCAGAUGUCGAAGAAUAUAUACUCAUGCUCAUGACUAUCAUAUCAAUUCCAUAUCCAAUAACAGUGAUGGUGAAACUUUUAUUUCGGCAGACGACCUGCGAAUCAAUCUUUGGAACCUGGAAAUUAGCAGCCAAAGUUUUAACAUUGUUGAUGUGAAACCUGCAAACAUGGAGGAUUUGACUGAGGUGAUAACUUCAGCAGAAUUUCAUCCUACACACUGUAAUAUGUUAGCAUAUAGUAGUUCUAAGGGUUCAAUUCGUCUUAUUGAUAUGCGACAAUCUGCAUUAUGUGAUACUCACAGCAAAUUGUUUGAGGGACAAGAAGCUCCAGGUUCCAGGUCUUUCUUCACAGAGAUCAUAGCAUCAAUCUCCGACAUUAAGUUUGCCAAAGAUGGAAGGCAUAUACUAAGUCGUGACUAUAUGACCCUUAAGUUGUGGGACAUAAAUAUGGAUUCUGGUCCGGUUGCAACUUUCCAGGUUCAUGAAUAUCUUAGACCUAAGCUUUGUGAUCUGUAUGAAAAUGAUUCCAUCUUUGACAAAUUUGAAUGUUGUCUAAGUGGAAAUGGACUUCGAGUGGCUACUGGUUCCUACAGCAAUCUGUUUCGGGUGUUUGGUUGUUCUGAAGGUAGUACGGAAGCAACAACACUGGAAGCCAGCAAAAACCCCAUGAGGAGACAAGGUCAGGCGACAUCAAGGCCUUCAAGAUCUCUUGGUAAUCUCUCUGGUGUUGUCCGACGAGUGAAAGGAGCAGAUAACUCGGGAGUUGAUGCAAAUGGAAAUGCUUUUGAUUUCACUUCGAAGCUGCUACACUUAGCAUGGCAUCCAACCGAGAACUCUAUUGCCUGUGCUGCAUCCAACAGUCUUUACAUGUAUUAUGCAUGAAGAGGAUCCAACGAAGCUUGCAAUUAUUUUUGCUGGGCAGAGCUUUUGGAGAGAUUGCUUUGCCUUCAUACCUUAUUUAAUGAUACAGAAAAGCUGCACCCAUUUGUCGAACUCUUGGCGAUUCUUCGAAGUCCAAUCAUGUCGACCACCACCAAAGUUCAAUGCCGCUGUUGUUGAUUUUGUCGAUGAAAAUUGCCGCUGGUUUGUGUUGGUUUUUGGAUGGUGUAGAAGUGGAAGAAGCUCUCCUUUUAAAUCAAAUUUACUACUGAUGUCCAUUUUAAUUGAUCUAAACAAAUAAUAAAAUGCUAAUUACUUAUCAGUAUCUGUGUAGAUGUUGAAAUUAUGAGUUGUAUGCACUAUGCACACAAUAUCAGCUUCGGUUGUAGCUUAAAAAUUAAAAUAAAGGAGUAGGACGGAGAUGCAAAUGUUUAAAUAUUAAAUUUAUUGGACAUUAUUGUAUUAUAAAUUUUAGGUACUUGAAUUGUUCCUAGUACAAGAGACAAGCCCAAAGGCCUAUUUGGCAUGUCGUGGGUGGCAACUUUAGUUCUUAGACCACCCUUAUGUAUUUCGAGUAGCGUCUAUUUGUAUUUUUUUAUUAAAAUAUUAUUAUUUUGUUUAUAUUUAUUCAA